GAAUUUUGGACAAUGGGCGAAAGCCUGAUCCAGCCAUGCCGCGUGAGUGAUGAAGGCCUUAGGGUUGUAAAGCCCUUUCACCGAUGAAGACAAUGACGGUAGUCGGAGAAGAAGCCCCGGCUAACUUCGUGCCAGCAGCCGCGGUAAUACGAAGGGGGCUAGCGUUGUUCGGAUUUACUGGGCGUAAAGCGCACGUAGGCGGAUUGGUCAGUUAGAGGUGGGAUCCCGAAGCUCAACUUCGGAACUGCCUUUAGUACUGCCAGUCUCGAGUCCGGAAGAGGUAAGUGGACCUACUAGUGUAGAGGUGGAAUUCGUAGAUAUUAGGAAGAACAACAGUGGCGAAGGCGGCUUACUGGUCCGGAACUGACGCUGAGGUGCGAAAGCGUGGGGAGCAAACAG
rnacentral:rRNA from 1 species